UGGGGAAUCUUGGACAAUGGGCGCAAGCCUGAUCCAGCCAUGCCGCGUGGAUGAUGAAGGCCUUAGGGUUGUAAAAUCCUUUCGCCGAGGACGAUAAUGACGGUACUCGGAGAAGAAGCUCCGGCUAACUUCGUGCCAGCAGCCGCGGUAAUACGAAGGGGGCUAGCGUUGUUCGGAUUUACUGGGCGUAAAGCGCGUGUAGGCGGGUCGUUAAGUUGGGGGUGAAAUCCCGAGGCUCAACCUCGGAACUGCCUUCAAAACUGGCGACCUGGACCUAAGUAGAGGCAAGUGGAAUUGCGAGUGUAGAGGUGAAAUUCGUAGAUAUUCGCAGGAACACCAGUGGCGAAGGCGACUUGCUGGACUUAUGGUGACGCUGAGACGCGAAAGCGUGGGGAGCAAACAGGAUUAGAUACCCAAGUAUUCCCUGAGCGGGCUGGCAAGGCGCAU
rnacentral:rRNA from 1 species